UGGCUGUGAUGGUGACUGGUGAUAGUGUUACUAGCUACGGGUAAGGUUGUUGUUACUGUGAUGAUGACUGGUGAUAGUGUUACUAGCAACGGGUAAAGUUGUUGUGGCUGUGAUGAUGACUGGUGAUAGUGUUACUAGCUACGGGUAAAGUUGUUGUUACUGUGAUGGUGACUGGUGAUAGUGUUACUAGCUACGGGUAAGGUUGUUGUUACUGUGAUGAUGACUGGUGAUAGUGUUACUAGCUACGGGUAAGGUUGUUGUUACUGUGAUGAUGACUGGUGAUAGUGUUACUAGCUACGGGUAAGGUUGUUGUUACUGUGAUGAUGACUGGUGAUAGUGUUACUAGCUACGGGUAAAGUUGUUGUUACUGUGAUGGUGACUGGUGAUAGUGUUACUAGCUACGGGUAAAGUUGUUGUGGCUGUGAUGAUGACUAGUGAUAGUGUUACUAGCUACGGGUAAGGUUGUUGUUACUGUGAUGAUGACUGGUGAUAGUGUUACUAGCUACGGGUAAGGUUGUUGUUACUGUGAUGAUGACUGGUGAUAGUGUUACUAGCUACGGGUAAAGUUGUUGUUACUGUGAUGAUGACUGGUGAUAGUGUUACUAGCUACGGGUAAGGUUGUUGUGGCUGUGAUGAUGACAAAAUUCAUAUAUGAUUAUAAAUUAGUUGCAGUUCAUAUUAAGAGUGAUUUCAUAUGUGUGUUUCUUUUUCCUCCGCGAUAAAAAGUUUGUAACAUGCUAACAGUUUUUCAAGAUACACUUUAUGACGACAACCUAACGUAAGAUAUUCUCAUCUUCUUAAACGCAAGAAUUAAUGAUUAACUUCGUCAACACUGUCAACCAUUUCACUUUGAAGUCAAAAAAGGCGGCCAUUUUAUUUUAAUUUUCCUGACCUUAAAUCUCAGUUACUUGGUCAACAUCUUCUGGGGAUCAACAUCUAAAUUGUCUGGAAGAAUUUGUUUACAAAAUUUUCCUCAAAACUGUUUAUAGACUAAAGCUUAUAAGUUUUGCAGCCGCAUGAUUUUGUCUUUUGUUUAACAGACAAAUAGAAAAAAAAUUACAUAUACUGUUUGUAUUCCUUUCUUUAUCUGUAUCUUUAUGUAAUGUAACUUAACCUAUACGAGUAUGAUAAGUUUUAUGUUAAAAAAAUUGAUAUGAUGUGAAGAUUAUAUUGUGAAAGUGA